UGUGCCUGCUUCCUCUCUUACACAACAGGAAUAAAGCUGAGCCAGGGAGGACACACCUGUAACCCCAGCACUUGGGAGGCUGAGGCAGGAGGAU
rnacentral:miRNA from 1 species